AGAAAGUGUUUUCCGGUAGUAUUAUUGCAUUUUCAGCGGUUAAAUCGCAAUAUAUGUUUAGCAGCUUAGCUGUACUAUUAUGAAUGGCAUACCACCACGACCCAGUGUGAUUGGAUGGAUGGACUCUUAAAGUCCUAAUUGGUGUGAUUGGUUGGACGGAGUUGGUGUAUAGCAGAUAGGGUAGGAUCUGUGUCUGCAUUU
rnacentral:lncRNA from 1 species